rnacentral:lncRNA from 1 species
GUGAACAGCGCGUUGAGGAAGACUGGUUUAGAAGGGUGUGAAUGUAGCUCACUCAGCAACAUACGGAUCAUCUAUGGAUGGAGAAGCACCAGGAGAUGUUUAAGUCUCCAGUUUGGAGGAUGGGUAAAUGAUGCCAUAAUUUGUGUCAAACAGUAGAAAGGAAGAACUGCAGUAUGAGGAAGGAGCAGAGAAUAUUAAGUUCUAUUGUAGACAUGCUUAUGACUUGAGAUUGGAAGUAAAUAUAGUUGUGGCGUGGUGAAACAUACUAUUGUUCUAUCUCUAUCAUAUUAUUAUUCUAUCUAUGUGAGUCUGAGGCAGAAUAAUCAAGAACCUGAGGCCAGUGUGGGCGACAUGAGGAUACCCUGACUAGAGAAACCAAGAACUGAGUUCAUUGAUAAGUGAAGUGGAAACUUAAGCAUUCUUUGGAAAGUCGGUUGGAUGGUAUUUUGCUGGGACAAACACAUGAAGGAACAUUUCGUUAAAGUGGACACAGGUGUGAAAGGCUAAGGCAGACUCGUGAAGGAACCUUUCCCUGAAGCAGACACAGGAGAGAGAUGUUCUGCUAAGAUAAGCACGUGAAAGGACACGUGAUGAAGGAUUCUUUGCUAACAACACACAUGUAUUGGUCUGCCUUACACUGCAUAGUUGAGCUGCAUUCGAAAGGACUCCAAGGACUGGGGUUGAUUAGAUGCACAUUCUGAGGCAAGACCCAUGCUGAGGCAAAGCACGUGAAGGACAUGAUGUAGGACUCCAUGGAGUGACAGAGACUGAGCUUGGCUUGCUGGUACAACUAGCUGUGCAACGCUAGUGAGUUUCAAGUCUUCCUGACCUUUGCUGAUCUUCACUUCCCUGAGAGAGGCACAGCUGAGAACUUCUCCUGGCCUCUGGGUCCCUCUUGCUGACUGGAGCCAAGGCUGAGGCAUGGCUGUCUCUGCUUGGUCCAGUCACCACUGUUGCUAACUGGACUCUACCGAACUGGACUGCUGCUGUAUCUGUGAGGUGUUUUCGAGUGGAUUGAGCUACCACUGCCUGCUGACCUGUGAAUUGAACUGCUGAUAUCCAGACA